AAAUCAAUAGGUUAUGUAAACUAAUAUCCUUCAAAGAUAUAGAAAGUAAGAUUUAACUUUAAAUUUG
rnacentral:tRNA from 1 species